ACGAUAAUUAAUUUAUUAUAUAAAAAAAGGUACUCCUACUAUAUCUUCUGUGAAAGAUAAGCUGCCGCCGCCAUCGUUCAAGCUCAAAACCUCAUCGAGCUGUCCAAGGAUGAGAUCUCGUUAAUCCGAGGCAUCGACGUAGAGAUGCGUACAAUUUCCGGUGACGGUGAGGCAAUCAAAAGCUGGCUGAAGAAGCUUGAAAACGUGGGGUUCGAUGCUCACGAUGUUUUGGAUGAAGUCAACUAUCAUCUUCUCUCCAACAAAAUUAAGCCCAUCAAGAAAAAGGUACUAUGUUGCUUCUCAACCUUCAAUCAUAUUACUCGUCUCCGAAAAAUUGGUCUUAGAAUAAGAAAAAUCAAUGGGAUUUUGGAGUCCAUUAACAAAGAGGCAACCGAGCUUGGCCUCGUUGGGAGGCUUGCCCUUGUGCCCACUUUGCUUGAUGCUACUUCUGAAACUGAUUCCUCCUUCACUCUUGAUCCAAUUUUUAUUGGAAGAGAUGAUGUCGUGUCCGAAAUGAAAUUGUUGAGAUGCUCGAUUCUUGCUGUUGUGGGAAUGGGUGGAAUGGGUAAGACAAAUUUGGAUCUCAUAUUUGGGUGCAUGUUACUCAAACUUUUGAUCCAAUCAUUCUUUUCAAGAAAAUCCUGGGAGAGUUGACUUCUGAUCCAGUUCAGAAUAGACAAGAUCUACUUGUUCUUGAUGAUGUAUGGAUUCGAGAUCUUCCAAGAUGAGAAGAUUUUAUUGACUCUUGGCCGGGGUUACUUCUACUAAGGGAAAUGCAUUGUUGUUACCACUAGGGUUAUCAGAGGAAGAUUGCUGGUCAAUAAUCAAAGCAAAAACCUUUGGAAAAGACGAUGUUCCCUCGUAUCGAAGGAACAAAGAUUGCAAAAAGAUGUCAAGGUUUGCCAUCAACUGCCAAGGUAGUCGGAGGAGUUCUGCGGAAUAAAUCUGAUAAGAAAAUGGCUCGCAAUCGAUCGCGCGUUGAAGAGAUAAUAUCACAAAAAUAUUGACCUAGUUUGUAUCCACCAUCACUUAAGAAGUGCUUUGUGUUCAAUUUUCCUAAAGAUGGGCAAAUUGAACUGAUUGAGCAUUGGAUGGCAGAAGGUUUUCUUCAAAGGUGAUGGAUGCAAUGAGAUGAGCAUUGGAUGGUAGAAGGUUUUCUUCGAAGGUGAUUGGAUGCAAUGAGAUGGAGUUUUUGGGCGAAAAAUUUAUCAACAUCCUUGUACACAACAUUUUAUUACAAGUUUCAGAGAGAGAUGAUUAUGGAAAUGUUAUGAGUUGUUCUUUAUUGCAAGUUGCAGAGAGGGAUGAUUAUGGAAAUGUUAUGAGUUGUGUGAUGGGCGAUCUCGCCUCUUCUGAGUUAGGUUCUUCUAACACUAUAACAUUUCCGUAAUCAUCUCUCUCAGCAGCUUGUGUGACACAAUAGUUUGAGGGAGGAAUGAAUUCCUAUCCAAAAAGAAGUGGCAAAAUAUUUGCGUACAUUAUUGUUCAGAGGUGAAAUUUCUAGUAGCAUAUUCCCAGACGUGGAAUGUGUGCGUGUUUUUAGCUCUCAAGAGUUAUAGAUCACAACGGUUAACUCUUGAGGGUUGCCCAGGAAUAGUGACUCAACGAGACAGUGAUAGUGAUUCUGAAUGGCCCAAUAUCUCCCACGGCCAUAUCCUCUCCAUCACCAUUGAUGCCUCCAAGCCCAAAGCUGCUGAUUAUGAUUCUCAAGAAAGUAGGAGGAGAAAAGAUUUGUGUUUGAGGUGCUUCUAAAGAGUGAGGAGGUGAAGAAGGAAUGAGUGUGUAUUAAUUUACUCAACCUUUCUUCAUAAUUCACAAUAUUUCAUCUUCAAGUCGUCGGAGAAAUCGAGGCCUCCAUUUGUGACACAGUUGAAGAUCGCGUUCUCCGUUGGUGACAGUUUACGGGCAUUCGUUGGUCCCGUGCUCAGGCAAUGGCGAGCUAACUCUGCAACCAUACACUAAGCCAUCACGGGAGGUAUUGGCCGUGUAGGCUGCUGCUUAUUGUACAGGCUCGUGGCCUUGGAGCUGCUGUAGUGCAACCACAACAUCAGCCAUUCUUGGCCUUGCUUUUGGAUCUUGGUUAAGGCACUUCAACGCCAGCUUCACAACUUCAUACGCUGCAUCAUGAGAAUACUGGCCGCCUAAUCUGACGUCGAUAAUCUGCAACAAUCUUGACUUUGUACCAAAAUACGAUUUUCCCAAGUUCAGAUUUGAUGCUAGAGUGCCAGACAGCAAUUCUAGUAGAACAACUCCAAAGGUGUAUACGUUCGACUUUGUAGUCAGGUGACCUGUGCAUAAGAAGAUGACUUCAGAACAACGAGUAUAGCAGGAGAUAACGUACUUAACGAGCAUCAGAAGGCGAAGGGACGAUCAAGAACCUUUCAAUGUAUAUUCAGGUGCAGUAUAGCCGUGUGCAACGAAUACUUGAUGAGUUCCCACGCAAGCCUUUUCACCAGUAGGAUCAUCUGUACCGUAACUGUAGUUAGAUAGCUUGGCAUUCAGUUCCUACACACCAAAUUUGUAAAACAUCAAAUGUUCAUCUGUAUAUCUGCAUAUAUGCAUAUAUAACUGAUUCUCUGUUUCUGUCUAAAA